rnacentral:rRNA from 1 species
UACAGAGGGUGCGAGCGUUGUCCGGAAUCACUGGGCGUAAAGGGCGCGUAGGUGGCGCGACAAGUCCGUGGUGAAAGUUCGACGCUCAACGUCGAAUCGGCCACUGAUACUGUUGGGCUUGAGCACUGUAGAGGCUAAUGGAAUUCCGGGUGUAGCGGUGGAAUGCGUAGAGAUCCGGAAGAACACCGGUGGCGAAGGCGGUUAGCUGGGCAGUUGCUGACACUGAGGCGCGACAGCGUGGGGAGCAAACAGG